rnacentral:tRNA from 1 species
CCUCUGGUGGUCCGGUGGUUAGGACUCAGAGCUCCCAACUCAGGGGGCCAGGGUUUGAUCCCUGGUCAGGGAA